CCUGGGCUACACACGUGCUACAAUGGUUGGUACAACGAUUUGCGAGUCGGUGACGGCGAGCUAAUCUCUUAAAGCCAAUCUCAGUUCGGAUUGUAGGCUGCAACUCGCCUACAUGGAGUCGGAAUCGCUAGUAAUCGCGGAUCAGCACGCCGCGGUGAAUACGUUCCCGGGCCUU
rnacentral:rRNA from 1 species